AGUCGAACGAUGAAACUUAGUAGACUUCUUCGGAAUGACACUAAGCGAAUUAGUGGCGAACGGGUGAGUAACGCGUGAGUAACCUGCCUUACACAAGGGGAUAGCCUUUGGAAACGAAGAAUAAUACCCUAUAAAACUAUAAAAGCACAUGCUAGAAUGGUCAAAGUGCUAGCGGUGUAAGAUGGACUUGCGUCUGAUUAGCUAGUUGGUGAGAUAAAAGCUCACCAAGGCAACGAUCAGUAGCCGGCUUGAGAGAGUGUACGGCCACAUUGGGACUGAGACACGGCCCAGACUCCUACGGGAGGCAGCAGUGGGGAAUUUUGCACAAUGGGGGAAACCCUGAUGCAGCGACGCCGCGUGAUUUAGAAGGCCUUCGGGUUGUAAAAAUCUUUUGUAUAGGAAGAAAAUGACAGUACUAUACGAAUAAGGUCCGGCUAAUUACGUGCCAGCAGCCGCGGUAAUACGUAAGGACCGAGCGUUGUCCGGAAUCAUUGGGCGUAAGGGGUACGUAGGCGGCUAGAAAAGUUAGAAGUCAAAGGCUAUAGCUCAACUAUAGUAAGCUUCUAAAACUAUUUAGCUUGAGAAAUGGAAGGGAAAGUGGAAUUCCUAGUGUGGCGGUGGAAUGCGCAGAUAUUAGGAAGAAUACCGGUGGCGAAGGCGACUUUCUGGCCAUUAUCUGACGCUGAGGUACGAAAGCGUGGGUAGCAAACAGGAUUA
rnacentral:rRNA from 2 species